rnacentral:rRNA from 1 species
UACGUAGGGGGCAAGCGUUGUCCGGAAUUAUUGGGCGUAAAGAGCUUGUAGGCGGUUUGUCGCGUCUGCUGUGAAAUUUCGGGGCUCAACCCCGAACUUGCAGUGGGUACGGGCAGGCUAGAGUGUGGUAGGGGAGACUGGAAUUCCUGGUGUAGCGGUGAAAUGCGCAGAUAUCAGGAGGAACACCGAUGGCGAAGGCAGGUCUCUGGGCCACUACUGACGCUGAGAAGCGAAAGCAUGGGGAGCGAACAGG